CAGGAAAUUAAUAUGUGAUAUGAGCUUGGAACAUUAUAGCAUUUCAUUAAAUGUGUGUAUAGGUUUUUCCCUAAUUUAUACCUGAGGUAUUUAUGUUUCAUCCUGAAGAAACACUACCCGGUUUGUCAGAAUAAUUUUUGCCUAUGGAGUCUUACUGACCCAGUGCUACUUUAAAGAUGAAUAUAUGAAUAUUACAUUUGCCAAACACUGUCACACUCAUUAUCUUUUUCCCAAGAGCCCCCAGAAGUGGGUAAAAAUAUUCUGAUUUACACUAUAGCCUGGAGAAUGUGGUAAGUUUGGGAGUCAGAUUUUGUUCCCAGGUCUGUCCUGUUUCCAAGGCACCUGUACUGCACCUGUUGACUUGGGUUCAUUCGCUGAGUAACUAAAGGGGUCUUUUUUGAGCCUUGUGUCAGAAGCAAGGGGUGAGGCCACAAAACUAGCCUUUGGGGAGCUCCUGUCUACUGGAUGAUCCAGAUCAUUACGCAAUGGGAAAAUCCUGUGCUACAGAUGAUGCUGAGUUCAGGGAGGGAAGCAAGCAGGCUUCUUGGUGGAAGAGGUAUUUAAUUCCAAGCCUGAAGGAUGAGUCAUCCAGGUGAAGAAAUUGGAAAUGAGCUUGAGGUAGAAAAGACACAAAAAGGCACCCAGGCCAAGGAGACAGUCUGAGUGCCAAGACGCGGGAGAGAAAGAUUUGCCUGCCAUGAAACAAAUAGCCUGGUUGGGCCAGAAUCUAAGGUGUGCAGGAAUGAGGGGUGAGAACAGCUCUUGCAGGGUCCUGCAUGCCAGGCUCCUAAGAGAAAGGAGCAGCUGCCCAAGGGUAAGCAAGGGUGCAACAAAGCUACCCCUGUACUCUGAAAGACAGAAGACACCCUAUGGCAGGGUGACACACGUGGAGAUGCUGAAGUCAGCAAGUUGGGUUGGGUCAGAGAGACACUGGUAGGUACCUGGGGUCCCAUAUUCUACCCAUUUGGAGCCCUCAUGACCACAUAAGCCCACUCCCAGGGUCCAUCAGGACUCUGGGCAGCAGCCACAGACCCCAGUCUAGCAGCUGAGGGCUUUAGGAAGGGGAGGGGAAGAGGCUAGGGAGCUCUUGUGAUACGAGAGCUGCCAGAGCCAGGGUCUGCAUGCCCCAGGACCCUCCCCUAUGAACAUCUGUCAUCUCUGCUUGUUUCUAUCUCUUUCUGCAAAGUGGCCUCAGUUUCUUCCACUGCACCCAGGGCAUGCUCCAUGAGCACAAAAAUGUAGCCCCCACCAGCUAUUUCCAACCCAAUGAUCUCAAAAGCAAUAGGGAGCUUCCCCUAAUAGCUACAGAAGAAAAUUUCAGGGAGGGAGCCAGAUGACUUUUGAGGGGCAUUAUGUGUAAAUGGCUGCUGUAUUAGUCUGUUCUCACACUGCCAUGAUGAAAUACCCAAGACUGGGUAAUUUACAAAGAAAAGAGAUUUAAUUGACUCUCAGUUCCACAUGGCUGGGGAGGCCUCAGGAAACUUACAAUCAUGGCAGAAGGCACCUCUUCACAGGGCAGCAGGAGAGAGAAUGAGUGCAAACAGGGGAAAUGCCAGACCCUUGUAAAACCAUCAGAUCUCGUGAGACUCAAUCACUAUCAUGAGAACAGCAUGGGAGAAACCACCCGCAUGAUCCAAUUACCCCCCACCUAGUCCCGCGGUUGACACUUGAGGAUUAUGGAGAUUCUAAUUCAAGAUGAGAUACUGGGUGGGAACCCAGCCAGCCAAACCAUAUCAGCAGCAUAGCUGGGAGAUCUUACCUCUUCUUUAAAAACAAACCAUUGCAGGAGUUGGCUGUGUCACCAGGAGCUGUCCAAGAACCUGGCCACAGACGACAAUGGACUAUUAGGUAAAGAACAGAUCCCUUCCAUCUUGCCACAUGCUCCCUGUAGCAAACAGCCACCUGGGACUUACAACUCAGAUGCUCCUCAGCCUCCUGUGGCCUCAAACAAGAUCUGGCCUGGUAAAACCUUCAACUCAGCAAUUCCACAUCCAAGUCUUCUAAUGGGAUACACAGCUUCAUUAAAAUGAAUGAGGUCCCUGUGUAUGUACUGAUGUAGCAAGAUGUGUAGCAUAUUGUUUAGUGAUUAAAAAGCUGGAUGCACGAAUACAUAUGAUAUCUUUUAUCUGUUGAAAAAUACACAGAGCAGGACAUAUAUAGCUAGGCAUGCAUAUAAAUGUGCAUGAAAAUGCGUAUCAGUUUGUGUAUAAAUGCAUAGAUAAUGGUCUGUAAGGGCAACAAAACGCACUGACAAUAGUGGCUACUGGAAGGCAAGCGAAAUUUGGAGACAAGUUGUUAGGGAGAGUAGCACAGAGGUAUUUGUUUCCUUAUAUGACCUGUUUGAAAAUACAACAAUAGGAAUGCCUGCAUAUGCCACUUGUAUAAUUAGAAUUAAUUUUAAAUGAGGGAAAAUAAAAUGGCAGGUAAUGUUGCUUGUAAUAGAAAAAAAAAGCCACCUAAAUACUAAAUACAAAUACAUCUAGAGGGAAACAACUGAAAGAAAUGAUGAUGCCCAUUACAAGAGAACACUAAGCAGCCACAGAGAGAUGAAGCAGAUUUGCACAGAGAGAUAUUCUCAAAUGAAAAGCGAGUUACAAAGUAGUGUGUACCAAGUGUUCCUAUUUUGUAAAAGAAAGAAAAUUUAAAUAUGCAUAGAAAACCAUAAGCCACGGUGAAAAGAGUGUGGCUUUGGAAUCACGCAGACCUGAGAUGAAGUCUCAGAUAGUUAUCAACAGAGUAUUGGGAGGGUCAGUCUACUGCUCUGAGCCUCAGUUUACCCAUCUUUCAAGUAGGAAUAACAACGAUGUCUACCUCAUGGGGUUAAUGUGAGGGUUAAUUGAACUAAUGUAGCCAAAAGGCUUAUCACAGAGGACACAAGACAGUAAGAUUAUUAUUAUUAAUUAUUAUUAUUUCCAAUGCUUAAUCUGGGAAAUAGGUUUGGGACUAAGGGAAGGAAACAAGGUGCUUUUACAUUUUUUGAAUAUUUCACAGUGAGGUUGUGUUACUCUCUGCUGUGGACUGAAUUGUGUCCUCCCAAAAUUGAUACCAAUGUGAUGGUAUUUGGAGAUGCGGCUUUUGGGAGAUAAUUAGGUUUAGGUGAAGUCAAGAAAGUGGACCUCAUGAUGAGAUUAGUGCCUUUAUAAGAAGAGGUACCAAAGAGCUAGCUCUCUCUCUCUCUCUCUUUUCCCCUCCCCUCUUCUCUCCCCCCUCCCCUAUGAGGACACAGUGAGUAGGUGGCUGUCUGCAAGCCAGAGGGACCUCACCAGAACCUGACCAUGUCGACACCCAAAUCUUGAACCUCCAACCUCCAGAACUAUGAGAAACAAAUUUCUGUUGUUUAAGCUACCCAGUCUAUGGGUAUUUUGUUAUGGCAGCCCAAGCCAACUAAGAUACUCUCAAUUUUAAAAAAUAUAAUAACUAAUAAAGAUUAAAAGAGGAAAAAUAACCUUGACCCAGCAGCUGCCUGUGAUGUGUUUGCUCUGAUGAGCUCUACGCCCUGGUUUUGCCCUGUGGGAGGCUGUUAGACCAGGUGUUCCAGUCACCAUGGGCUACAGCUUAUGAGCAAGUGUGCUCAGCCACAUCGAUUGUCAUCUUGAGAAAACCACGUCCGUCCGGUGGCACAACAGUAAUUAUGGAGAAGAGCUGGGAAUUGAGCCAGGCCCUCAGAGCACAGUGAGACAGGCAAAGGUGGUCCCUCCCUACUGGGGGCUUGGGAACUGGGGGGACAGACAAGAGGUGGGUGACAAGUGUUCUCCUGUCUGUGUCUGUGAUUUAAUAUAAUGUUGACAUUUCCCCAGCCAAGUGGCAGCUGGGAUGCCAGCCGCAUGAAAUUGGAUGGAUAAAAGCCGGGGCAAAGGGCAUGGUGACCUUGACUCUCUGUCAUUUUGCUACCAACUCUGUCAGAGACAAUCUGGUACACUAAGCCACUGAAGUCAAUAACAAGAUGGAUCAGAGAUGAUGAAAAAAAAAAAGAGAUUGAGAAUCCCAUGUAAUUGUUCCUUUUUUAAGGGUCAUAUGGUUCUGCUGCUGUCUCUGGCAGAAGGGUCAUGAGUAAGAAUCCAUCCAGUUGUGCAGAGGAGACCCCCAGCUACUGCAGUGGAGUCUGACAGGCUCCAGUUUCAUGCACUGAGCACCUACUAUGUGCCAGGCCAGAGCACACCCCAGGAACGCCACAGCAAACGAGACAGUUCCUGUAAAAUGGUGACAGCAUCAUCACCUCCUUAAAGGGUCAUUAUGAGGAUCAAAUAAGACAACAGGUGGAAAACAAGACAGGACCCAGCACAUAUGAUGGGAGACAGAUGGGGCCCCUGCUCUCUGGGACUGAUUUCCAGUGGGAAGAAGGACGAUCAUCAAGGAACCCAACAAAUGAAUGACACCACCACAGGCAUGACAAGGGAAGCACAGAAAGAAAUAUGAUGCUAUGAAGAGGGCGAGGCUCUUCUGAGAAAACUCCUGCUCCAGGUGAGAGCAGAGCGAGCAAGAUGGACCUGAGGCAGGAGGUGGGAAUGGACUCAGCAGGUGGGACUUGAACAUCAGACCAAAUUGAGGACCAGCUAAAACAGGAAUGGAGCAGAAGCAGCUUUCCAUAAGACACACCCACCAGGGUGCCUCGUCAGUUUACCAUUGCUAUGGUAACACACAGAAGUUACCAUCCCUUUCCAUGGCAACAACCCAAUGAUCCGUAAGUUACCACUCUUUUCCUAGAAACUUCUGCAUACUCUGCCCCUUAAUUUGCAUGUAAUUAAAAGUGGGUAUAAAUAUGGGUGCAGACCUGCCUCUGAGCUGCUAUUCUGGGCACAUUGCCUAUGGGGUAGCCCUGCCGUGCAAGGAACAGCACCUUUGCUGCUGCUAAGCCCUGCCACUUCAGUGAAAGUUGCUAUCUAACCACUGGCUCACCCUUGAAUUCUUUCCUGGUUGAAGCCAAGAACCCUCUCAGUCUAAGCCCUUGCGUGCCCUGCAUCAUCUGGUGACCACAAAAAGACAAAGACAGCAGAGAUGGCAGCAAUCGGUGAUCAGCAGAGAGACAGCAAUUGGCAAGAUAUGACAAGAAAUGGCAGUCAGUGAGAUGGCAAGAGUAUAGUGAGAGAUGGUGAGAGACAGUGAUCAGCAAGACAACGAGCAGAGAUAGUGAGACAUGGUGAAGCAGCCUGUGAUCGAGACCGUAAGAGCUAUAACACUGAGGCUGUAACACCUAAGAGCUGCUCAAACUACAGAGCUGUAACUCUAGCCUAAGGCUCUUUGAAGAGCCAUCAUCUUUUCCCAUCAGGUGGUGCAGCCAAGUAGACAGCAAGUGACCAUAGUGCCUCUACCUUGUGUAGGACCCACUGUUCUGGCUAGCAGGCCAGUGGGUUACCCAUUCCUGUGCCAGCCUGCUGUGUGACAGCCGAGCCCACCCAAGCUGAGGGAACCUGGAGAGACUGUCACCCAGGUCCCAUGUGGAAGAUCAGUCAGUGCCAUUUUGGCUCAGUGACCGAUCCAAAAUGGGUGGAUGAGCGUCCCCUCUGCCACUCCCAAUAAUAUCAGGUGAGCUAGGGGAUAAAAGCCUUUGGCUAAGUGGUCAGUGAAAAGCCCCCCAGGGUUUGAGUGCCCCAAAACAUGCCCUUAUCACCCCUUCCCCUGUCCUUUCUCCUCUGACUCCAUUUUAUUUUCUCAUCAGUCAUUUUAUUUUCAGUUCUAUAUGUUUUGUUUGCAGUCUUCUUUUGCUUUUGACUUUCUGUUAACUGUAUUUGGCAAUUGUUUAAGGCAGAACACUUGGUUGUGAGAGAUACCCCAUUGUAUUGACUCUGGGGUGCCAGAGUCUCAUUGUUCUGUGACCCCAUUGUGGUCUUGGGUUCACUGUUGGGUGCCACCUGGGUGCCCUGGAGUUUUGAGCAUUUUAGAGAGGGGACCCUCAUUGACUGAAGCUUGGGCACUCUGAGUUUCCAGUACUGGUAUUUUUGGCCACCCCCAAGAUGCUCUGCAGUUUUCAGCAUUGACAUUCCCUCUAGGAUUGUGGCUUAGAGUCCCCUCCUCCCAAGGGAAUAUUGGUCUCGUCUUUUUCUCCCCUGAAGUUAGAAGUAUUAUUUUCCUAAUAGCCAGUUGCAGGCCCCUUCCUGUAUGCUAUCUUACAGCUGCCUUGAUCAAGCCUCUCUUGAUCAAAGUGACCAAAAGUUACCAGGCCCCUGGCCUGAUGGAUGACAAGCUACAGCAAUAGAUAAGUGGCCACACAAACAUUUUUUUCAGUAUCUCUGCUACUGGGUAGGUUCUCUGAAAACUCAGGGCCUCUGAGGUCUCCCUUUGGGCAAUGCUGUUUACACCCUUCCCCUUCUCCCUUCCACUGUCCCCAUUUGUUCAGCCUCCUCUCUGUGCAACCCUCCCUCUCUUUGCAGAACUUAGGCUCAAUAUUCUACUGCUCAUUUGUAGCUCAUAGUCUGCUUGUGUAAUGCCAUGCUACCUAUACUUACACCUUCCCCAUAGGAAGUGGGAGUCUAAAAGGGAAAAAUAACAAGGGCCAGGUUGCUUUCCCUCUUGCUAGACUUAGAAAAACUUCUGUGUCCAGUAAAAAUCCUUGUUAGUUAUGGGGACAAUGAUGAGCAUCCCAGAGGACUCACCACUAGGGUGUCUUUUAGACUAUUGGAGCAAAGUCAAAUUUGUCUUAAAGAAAAAGAAAUUCAUUUUCUAUUGCAAUACCAUUUCGGUUCAAUACCAAUUAGAAAACCAAUAGAUUUCACUUAAAUAUGGUGCUAUACUUUAUAAUGAUGUUUUGCAACUGGCCUUAUUUUGUAAAGAAGAAGAAAAAUGGGAAGAGGUCCCUUAUGUACAGGCUUUUAUGACCCUUUACUGGCUCAUGUUACUUUCAGGCAUCAGAAAUCCAUGCCUAGGGGAUCCCCUCCUAGCUUCUCCCCCUAGAAGGCCUAUGCCCUCCCCAGAGACUCCCCAGUCUCCCAGUUCUGAGGAGUGUCCCGCCAGUUCUCCAAUGAAGGAUUCCACCUCAAGGUCAUCAGGAGCCCCCUCCCUCUUAUUCAACUAGCCCCAACCUAUACCCUAUUUCCCUGCUGCCCAAAAAAGUAAGCCUAACAAGUACCACCCAGUCAGGGCCCCAUAUCAGCCCCUAAAACCAAGCCCGUGUCCAUUGCGGGAGGUAGCUAAUGGAAAUAAGGGGACACUUAGAGUACAUGUGCCGUUUUCUAUAUCUAAUUUGGCCUUAUACAAGAGAAGAUUUGGCCAGUUUUCAGAGGAUACAGAUUCACAGAGGAGUUUAUUAAGUUGGCCGCAUUCUUUGAUAUAACUUGUCAUGAGUUGCAAAUAUUGUUGUCCACUUGUUGUGUGGUGGGAAAAACACAGGAAAAAGUGUGGUUAAGCCAGUCAAUUGUGACAAGGAUAGAGCAAUAACUCAGGGAAGAGAUGAAAAUAUCGCUCUGUUUCAGGGUCAUCUAGUUGAGGCAGUAGGGAAAUAUACUUAAUGCAGACCUAGACUUCCCAGAAGGGUAAGCUCUCCUGGGUACACGUUUCAUUACUCAAUCUGCCUCUAACAUUACAAAAAGCAGCAAUGGGGCCUCAAGCCCCUAUGAGCCAACUCUUAAAUGUGACCUUUAAAGUUUACAACAAGAGGGGCAGGGCAAAGUGCUGGAAUAAAAGAAAUAGCUGAAAAGUGCAAUUAUUAGCAAAUGCUUUAAGCCUCCUGCCCCCUCAGGGUUACUCAUCCUGAGAAAGUGCCAUGAAAUCAGGAUCUGGGAUGCGCAGACAACAGCCCUCCAUUUGCCGGCCCUCGGGCCAGAAUCAGUGUGCCUACUAUAAGUAAAAUGACCCUUGACAACUAGAAUGUCUAACUGUACCUGGUGAGAGAGAGAGAAAAAAGUAAUCUCCCUCUCAGUUACAAAGCUAAACUUCUUCCACUGGCCCCAAAGAGCCACCUUACCCAAGUAAGUUUACUGGGAGUUUGGCUCCUUGACAUGACAGAUAGAUUCCCACAGUGGCAGAUAAGCAGCUGCCCAAACAUUUUUCUUCAGUGUCUCUACUGCUGGUUGAACUCUCCAAUGGCUCGAGGACUCUGGGGUCUCCUCUUGAGCAAUGCAGUUUUACCCCUCCCUUCCUUAUUUGAUGCCAUGGGAUCCCCUUUCCUGCCUCUUCUUGUCUUCCAUACCUGUUGGGCAAACAAAAUUUAUCCAGUAGAUGGGUCCUGGUUUCGUAAAUAACUUGAAUCCAGUUGUCUUGUACAGGUCAUUUUAUUUAAUGUGUUGUUUAGAAGUAGAUACAGGUAUUAUAAUGUGUGUUGUAUCUAGCAUGCUAUCAAGUUGACUUGUAAAUAAAAGGACACUCAUGAAUUAAACAAGACUAGCCUAAGCUUAUUAGUUUGAAGAGAAUGUUGUGUCUUCUAAAAUUUUACUUUAAGAUUUUUACCUAGAUAAGUCAUUGAUGUUAUUAGGCUUUAAAAUGGUUAAAUGGCUUUAAAUGGUGACUAGUUUUGCACGAUAUCUUGGUUCUUGGAGAUGGUCUAGAUAAAAACCUUUAAAAGUGAAAAAGUUCAAUACAUGUGAAUGAAAUCAAUGCUUAAAUACUGAGAUUUUGUAGAGUAAAAAACCUUAAAAUUAUAAACUGGUUCUCAUCUAUAGAAUGCCAAUGUCUGGUGAGCAGUUCAGGAUUUCUUGCUUCCUAGGUUUAUAUAACAUGUGCCAAAGAAAUGUCUUCUUUAUUGGGAAAAAACAUAAUUUUUGUCUAAUUCAGUAGUUAUUAAAAGUGAGGUUCAAAAUAUGAGGGAACCAGUGAGCAGAAAAAAAAGAGAUGUAAAGAAUGUUAUGGAUAGAAACAUAACUUUUUUUUUUGCAAGGAAGGAUAUAAAGAAAGAGCAAUUUUG
rnacentral:lncRNA from 10 species